rnacentral:lncRNA from 10 species
UGAUCAGGGAAGAUUUCAACAGCAGUGAAAUAAAAGUGGGCUGUGAAAGGUGAGCUGGAUGUGUCAGGCAGAGAACCUAGUGCUUCUCAAUGCGUAGGCCUUAGACAAUCAUUAUCAGACUCACCUGUGAGCUUUUUGAACCACAAAUUUACUAACUCCAUCAGAUGGACUCAAUCAGAGUCUGGAAAUGGAGCUCAGGGAACACGCCUAACAAAGCCUCCAGGUGAUUAAAGUUUGAGAAACAAUGCAUUAGGUGGCCCUAAUCUAGGCCAAUGAGUCAGAGGCCGCUGAAGGAGGUGGUAUUUAAUCUGAGGAGUGAGGGAUAAAUUGGGGUAAUGGGUAGAGGCUGGGAGAUUCUCAGGCAAAGGAAACAGCUAAUAUGGAGGCCCAGAGAAGAGCUUGGCAUAUUCAGUUUGGUGGGGCACAGUGGCUGAAUGCACGUAAUCCCAGCAUUUUGGGAGGCUGAGGCAGGUGGAUCACUUGAGGUCAGGAGUUCGAGACCAGCCUAGCCAACAUGGCAAAACCCCGUCUCUACUAAAAAUACAAAAAUUAGUCGGGCAUGAUGUUGCACGCCUGUAGUCCCAACUACUUGGAAGGCUGAGGUGGGAGGAUAGCUUGAGCCCAGGAGGCGGAGGUUAGAGUUAGCUGAGAUCGCGCCACUGUACUCCAGCCUUGGCAACAGAAAAUUACAGUUGACUCUUGAAUAACACAGGUUUGAACUGCGUGGCACCACUUCCAUCUCAGCUACCCCUGAGACAGCAAGACCCUCCUCUCUUCCUCCUCCUCCUCAGCCUAUUCAACAUGAAAAUGAGGAUGAAGACAUUUAUGAUGAUCCACUUUCACUGAAUAAAUGAUAAAUAUAUAUUAUCUUCCUUGUGAUUUUUGUAAUAAAAUUUUCUUUUCUUUAUCUUAUUUAAGAAUACAGUGUGUAAUAUUAAUACAUAUAAAAUACAAAGAUGUGUUAAUCAUUUAUGUUUUCUGUAAGGGUUUCAUCAACAGUAGGAUGUUAAGUUAAGUUUUAGGGAAGUCAAAAGUUAUGUGAGAAUUUUUGAUGCACAGGAGUUCAGUGCUCCUAAACCCUAUAUUGUUCAAGGGUCAACUGUAUACACUAAUCAUUAUUUGAAAGCUUAAUUUAUAUGAAUCAAAAUAAACUAUGUUUAUGUUGAUGUGUUGUCCUUCCAUUACUUUGUGUGUGUGU